GACGAAGGGGGCUAGCGUUGUUCGGAAUUACUGGGCGUAAAGCGCGUGUAGGCGGUUGCCCAAGUCAGGUGUGAAAGCCUUGAGCUCAACUCAAGAAAUGCACUUGGUACUGGGUGGCUAGAGGACCGGAGAGGAUAGUGGAAUUCCCAGUGUAGUGGUGAAAUACGUAGAGAUUGGGAAGAACACCAGUGGCGAAGGCGGCUAUCUGGACAGUUCCUGACGCUGAGGCACGAAGGCCAGGGGAGCAAACGGG
rnacentral:rRNA from 1 species